UACUGGGGCAACCCCAUAGCUGGGGGUCCUAUGGGAGAGACUGAGGAACUUCGGUUUGUGGACUCUCAGUCAACUGUGUUACUGAGGAGGGGAAAGGAAAGUAGAUGAGUUGGUGGUUUGAACAAGACCCAAAUCUUGCUUCUACUUAUAGGUGCUCACAAUGGCCAGUGCCCUGGAAAAGCUCUGGAAUAAAUACACCUGGGCCUUAGAAAGCAGAGGCAGGAGACAAUGCCAUCCAGUGGGAGCUUUCAUUUGUUUCCUCAGCCAGCCUCUGUGUCAGGCUUUUUGGGAACAAGGGCUGGAUGAACAAGACCUUGGGAGUUCCUGUGGGGAGGGACUGGGGGUGAAUGGGCAGUGUGGCUGGCCCGGUGAUCACUUCUCCUCUGCUUGUCUAGGCUUGAGGAUGGAUUCUUGGCUCCUGGUGCAUUGCCACUCCCUGCCACCCUCCUCCUUGUCUUCUAUCUUCUCCUGGUGGCGUCAGGCCUUGCUUCGUGUCCCAACAGGAGCCUCUGGGGCUGGCACAGCCCUCACUGCCUACAACCUGGGCCUGGUGGUUCUCCUAGGGUGCCUCUGGGAGGUCAUGGUCACCCCGCUGCUGGCUAAC
rnacentral:lncRNA from 1 species